GUAGCAACAACAUACAUCUUUGUUUUUUUAUUAUUAAGAAAGUAAAACAGUACAGUACAGGCUGAGAAAAUCCCUGCAUUUCAUAAAGAGGGACAAAAACAUAGCAAUGAGACAAUCCUAAAAAAUCCACCUCCAACAAAUCCCUUCAUUUUGAGCAAGAUCAACAACAAAUUACCAGGAAGCUAAAUAUAAAGAUGAUCUUUCCAUGCCUGUUUUAGCCAAGGUAUCAGCUAAACAGUUUGCUUCACUAACAACAAACACAAAGGAUAAAUCAAUGAUAGCUCCUCAAUCUCUUGGCAAAUACAUGGGAAAUCCAUUUAAGAGCAUUUGAA
rnacentral:lncRNA from 1 species